GAUUAAAGUGGCGUACGGGUGAGUAACACGUAGAUAACCUACCCUUUAGUUUGGGAUAACUUUCUGAAAAGGAGGCUAAUACCGAAUAAUACUAGGAGCCUAGUGGUUCUUAGUUGAAAGAUUUAUCGCUGAGGGAUGGGUCUGCGUACCAUUAGCUAGUUGGUAGGGUAAAGGCCUACCAAGGCUUCGAUGGUUAGCGGGUCUGAGAGGAUGGUCCGCCACACUGGAACUGAGACACGGUCCAGACUCC
rnacentral:rRNA from 1 species